rnacentral:rRNA from 1 species
CCCUUAGAUGUUCUGGGCCGCACGCGCGCUACACUGAUACGUUCAACGAGUCCAAACCUUGAUUGAUAGGUCUGGGUAAUCUUUUGAAUACGUAUCGUGCUAGGGAUAGAUUAUUGCAAUUAUUAAUCUUGAACGAGGAAUUCCUAGUAAACGCAAGUCAUCAGCUUGCAUUGAUUACGUCCCUGCCCUUUGUACACACCGCCCGUCGCACCUACCGAUUGAAUGACUUGGUGAAAAAUUGGGACUGUGAUUGAAAUUGCUUCAUUGCGAAUUUAAUCAUGGAAACUUUCUUUAACCUAGGCAUUUAGAGGAAGGUGAAGUCGUAACA